rnacentral:miRNA from 1 species
GAUUUCAGUGGCGUGAAGAAUA